rnacentral:lncRNA from 1 species
GUCCCCUGGGGGGUCCCUGUCCCAGUUUGGGGUCCCUGUCCCAGUUUGGGGGGUCCCUGUCCCAGUUUGGGGGGGCUCAGUCCCAGUUUGGGGGGUCCCUGUCCCAGUUUGGGGGGUCCCUGUCCCAGUUUGGGGGGUCCCUUUCCCCAAUUUUGGGGUCUCUCUUCCCAAUUUUGGGGUCUCUCCCCAUUUUUGGGGUCUCUCCCCAUUUUUGGGGUCUCUCUCCCCAUUUUUGGGGUCUCCCCCCCAAUUUCUGGGGUCUCCCCCCAAUUUUGGGGUCCCUGUCCCCAUUUUUGGGGUCCCUGUCCCCAAUUUUGGGGUCUCUCCCCCCAAUUUUGGGGUCCCUGUCCCCAUUUUUGGGGUCCCUGUCCCCAAUUCUGGGGUCUCUCUCCCCAAUUUUGGGGUCCCUGUCCCCAUUUUUGGGGUCCCUGUCCCAAAUUUUGGGGUCUCACUCCCCAUUUUUGGGGUCUCCCCCCCAAUUUUGGGGUCCCUUUCCCCAAUUUUGGGGUCUCACUCCCCAAUUUUGGGGUCCCUGUCCCAAAUUUUGGGGUCUCACUCCCCAUUUUUGGGGUCUCUCUCCCCAUUUUUGGGGUCUCUCUCCCCAAUUUUGGGGUCCCUGUCCCCAAUUCUGGGGUCUCCCCCCAAUUUUGGGGUCCCUCUCCCCGUUUUUGGGGUCCCCUCACCCCAGUUUCCCCCGCAGGCACCCAGGACAUCGUGUUUGGGGAGGUCGAUCGAUGAGGGGGGGUCCCCAACUUCCGGAUCCCAAAUUUUGGGGUCCCCCCACCCCAAUUUCCAGCCCAAUAAAGACAAAUUCGGGUCCUGAGCUCCGAGUCCCCUUUGUGCCCCCCCUUCCCCCAGUUUGGGGGUCCCUGUCCCAGUUUGGGGGGUCCCUGUCCCAGUUUGGGGUCCCUGUCCCAGUUUGGGGGUCCCUGUCCCAGUUUGGGGGGGUCUUUCCUCACUUUGGGGGUCCCUUCCCCAAUUUGGGGGGUCCUUCCUCACUUUUGGGGGGUCUUUCCUCAUUUUGGGGGUUCCUUCCCCAAUUUGGGAUUUUUUUUCCCCAUUUUGGGGCCCCUCCCUCCGAUUUGGGGGGGCUCCUUCCUCUUCUGGCAUUUCCUUCCCCAUUUUUGGGGGGCUCCUUCCUCAUUUCUGCUCUUUCUUCCCAAAUUUUGGGGCUCCCCCUCCCCC